rfam:Candidatus Magasanikbacteria bacterium RIFCSPHIGHO2_02_FTLL_51_14 rifcsphigho2_02_scaffold_3134, whole genome shotgun sequence.
GUCAUCAACAAAGAAACGCCACAGACAGCAGGUGUCUCACAAGACGUAAAUCCUGCCGAGGCAACUGAUUUCUGAUUUCAGAUUUUUGAUUUCAGAUUGAAACUCGAUAAAUUGUCUGUGGUAAAAGCCACAGUUUUUUAUUAGUGUGA